rnacentral:rRNA from 1 species
GACGAACGCUGGCGGCGUGCUUAACACAUGCAAGUCGAACGAUGAAGCCUAGCUUGCUAGGUGGAUUAGUGGCGAACGGGUGAGUAAUACGUGAGUAACCUACCUUUAACUCUGGGAUAAGCCUGGGAAACUGGGUCUAAUACCGGAUACGACCAAUCUCCGCAUGGGGUGUUGGUGGAAAGCGUUAUGUAGUGGUUAUAGAUGGGCUCACGGCCUAUCAGCUUGUUGGUGAGGUAACGGCUCACCAAGGCGACGACGGGUAGCCGGCCUGAGAGGGUGACCGGCCACACUGGGACUGAGACACGGCCCAGACUCCUACGGGAGGCAGCAGUGGGGAAUAUUGCACAAUGGGCGCAAGCCUGAUGCAGCGACGCCGCGUGAGGGAUGACGGCCUUCGGGUUGUAAACCUCUGUUAGCAGGGAAGAAGAGAAAUUGACGGUACCUGCAGAGAAAGCGCCGGCUAACUACGUGCCAGCAGCCGCGGUAAUACGUAGGGCGCGAGCGUUGUCCGGAAUUAUUGGGCGUAAAGAGCUUGUAGGCGGUUUGUCGCGUCUGCUGUGAAGGCCGGGGCUUAACCCCGUGUAUUGCAGUGGGUACGGGCAGACUAGAGUGCAGUAGGGGAGACUGGAACUCCUGGUGUAGCGGUGGAAUGCGCAGAUAUCAGGAAGAACACCGAUGGCGAAGGCAGGUCUCUGGGCUGUAACUGACGCUGAGAAGCGAAAGCAUGGGGAGCGAACAGGAUUAGAUACCCUGGUAGUCCAUGCCGUAAACGUUGGGCACUAGGUGUGGGGGACAUUCCACGUUUUCCGCGCCGUAGCUAACGCAUUAAGUGCCCCGCCUGGGGAGUACGGCCGCAAGGCUAAAACUCAAAGAAAUUGACGGGGGCCCGCACAAGCGGCGGAGCAUGCGGAUUAAUUCGAUGCAACGCGAAGAACCUUACCAAGGCUUGACAUAUACUGGACCGCAUCAGAGAUGGUGUUUCCCUUCGGGGCUGGUAUACAGGUGGUGCAUGGUUGUCGUCAGCUCGUGUCGUGAGAUGUUGGGUUAAGUCCCGCAACGAGCGCAACCCUCGUUCUAUGUUGCCAGCACGUUAUGGUGGGGACUCAUAGGAGACUGCCGGGGUCAACUCGGAGGAAGGUGGGGAUGACGUCAAAUCAUCAUGCCCCUUAUGUCUUGGGCUUCACGCAUGCUACAAUGGCCGGUACAGAGGGUUGCGAUACUGUGAGGUGGAGCUAAUCCCUAAAAGCCGGUCUCAGUUCGGAUUGGGGUCUGCAACUCGACCCCAUGAAGUCGGAGUCGCUAGUAAUCGCAGAUCAGCAACGCUGCGGUGAAUACGUUCCCAGGCCU